rnacentral:rRNA from 1 species
AGUUUGAUCAUGGCUCAGAAUGAACGCUGGCGGCGUGCCUAACACAUGCAAGUCGAACGAGAAACUUCCCGCUUGCGGGAGGAAGUAAAGUGGCGCACGGGUGAGUAACGCGUGGGUAACCUGCCCUUGAACCUGGGAUAACCCCGCGAAAGCGGGACUAAUACCGGAUAUCGUUUCGAGAACUAUGGUUUUCGGAAUGAAAGGUGACCUCUUCAUGAAAGUUGCUGUUCAGGGAGGGGCCCGCGUACCAUUAGCUUGUUGGUAGGGUAAUGGCCUACCAAGGCGACGAUGGUUAGCUGGUCUGAGAGGAUGAUCAGCCACACUGGAACUGAAACACGGUCCAGACUCCUAUGGGAGGCAGCAGUGAGGAAUUUUGCGCAAUGGGGGAAACCCUGACGCAGCAACGUCGCGUGAGUGAAGAAGGCCUUUGGGUCGUAAAGCUCUGUCAAGUGGGAAAAAACUCUCUUGAUUAAUAGUCAAGAGAGCUGAUGGUACCAUUGAAGGAAGCACCGGCUAACUCCGUGCCAGCAGCCGCGGUAAUACGGAGGGUGCAAGCGUUGUUCGGAAUUACUGGGCGCAAAGAGCGUGUAGGCGGUUUGGUAGGUCAGAUGUGAAAGCCCUGGGCUCAACCCAGGAAGUGCAUUUGAAACUGCCUUUCUUGAGUAUGGGAGGGGAGAGUGGAAUUCCCAGUGUAGAGGUGAAAUUCGUAGAUAUUGGGAGGAACACCCGUGGCGAAGGCGACUCUCUGGACCAAUACUGACGCUGAGACGCGAAAGCGUGGGGAGCAAACAGGAUUAGAUACCCUGGUAGUCCACGCCGUAAACGAUGAGAACUAGGUGUAGCGGGUAUUGACCCCUGCUGUGCCGAAGUUAACGCAUUAAGUCUCCGCCUGGAGACCCGCCGAG